rnacentral:rRNA from 1 species
CCUACGGGGGGCUGCAGUGGGGAAUAUUGGACAAUGGGGGGAACCCUGAUCCAGCCAUGCCGCGUGUGUGAAGAAGGCCCUCGGGUUGUAAAGCACUUUCAGUGAGGAAGAACGCCUGGUGGUUAAUACCCAUCAGGAAAGACAUCACUCACAGAAGAAGCACCGGCUAACUCCGUGCCAGCAGCCGCGGUAAUACGGAGGGUGCGAGCGUUAAUCGGAAUUACUGGGCGUAAAGCGCGCGUAGGUGGCUUGAUAAGCCGGUUGUGAAAGCCCCGGGCUCAACCUGGGAACGGCAUCCGGAACUGUCAAGCUAGAGUGCAGGAGAGGAAGGUAGAAUUACCGGUGUAGCGGUGAAAUGCGUAGAGAUCGGGAGGAAUACCAGUGGCGAAGGCGGCCUUCUGGACUGACACUGACACUGAGGUGCGAAAGCGUGGGUAGCAAACAGGAUUAGAUACCCUUGUAGUC